GGGCUUGUGGUUUAGUGGUAUAAUUCCUCUUUAGCACUGCUAUCCCCGCGGAUGGAAGGACUAGAGGCGGUCCCUGGUUCGAUUCCUGGCAGGUCCA